CUGAGGCCCAGCGGUCCUGUUGCUGCUCGGCCCUGCCUGAGCCUCCCGGCGGGAGCUGACCGCCACUGGGCCGCAGCAGGCUGAGCUCUUCUAGUGCCCGGGUCUCAGGCCCUCGUCUCUGCUCUGACCAGAGUCCUCUGGGACCCUGCUUUCUCUAGCCGGGCAGUGCUUCUCUUCCCACUUUGUCCACUUCAGUGUCUGGUGAAAGACACUGCCUGGAAACCCUCACAUUCCCUUGCUUAGUCUGGUUGCAAGGGCUGCAUUUGAGGCUCAGAGGCAUCCCGUGUCUUUCAGAGAAAGAAGGAACUUCCCAAUUGCCUUGUCUUUCCCAAGUCACUUACUGAUUUCACUCGCUGACUGACAUAGAAAGCUUUCAUUCGAACAAGGAAAAGCUGUAAUCUUGUAUCCAUGUAGCAUCUCAUUCUCCCGCUUGGCUCUUUCUACCAGAGCAAAACGGAAUUCCUCCCCGAACUCCAUGUCCAAGGGUCCUCAAGGUCAGGCCACGUCUUCCUCCAUCAGUCUGCUCCACAGAGGGUUGGGAAUAUAUGUCCAGUGGAUGCUUUCAAAAGAAAAGUGCAAAAAGCGGGUGUUAUCUUAAAUUUUGCAGUUUUUCUUUUCAUGAGUAUUAUACAAAGUAUGCAUUUAAUAAAAUUAAUUUCUGAUGCUGUCACCAUGGAAAUAGUUGCUGCUUUCUUCUUUGCUUGAGGAAAUUUUAUAUUUUCAUGUUAGCACACGAGGUUUCUGGAG
rnacentral:lncRNA from 1 species